GUAAAUAUUGCAUGAAAAAGCCUUCUGAGGGAUGUUCUAUGACUCCUGCCCUGGACACCAACAUGGAGUUUUCUGGUAGUGAUUUGUUUGAAAUGUGUGCUAGACACCUUCUUAUCACUAUGACAAAAUACCUGAGUGACCUCGGCCUUGGAAAAGGAAAAGAACUGGAAACUGGGGGAGUGAGAAAAGAGACCCCCAAAUCUCCAGUCUGGGGACUGCAAGAGGAACCUCACCUCUGCUUCACCAGAGCGCACAGUGAGAGCAGGGAAGUGAUGCUCUGUAGAACACCUACGCUCAGGGCACUGUUCUUCCCAGCUUGACAACUCUAAGAACUGAAGUCUUCAGCCAACGAAGAAGUCAUGUAAAGGAGCCUCUUUGAAAAUGGAUCCUCCACCCUCGGGCCAGCCUUCGGCACACUGUUGCCUAGCCAACAGUUCAUGAGACCCUGAGACAGAACCAGCAGCUGAGUGCCCAUCAGAAUCUGUCCUUCAGAAACCAUGAGUACAGGCUGAGAAGCACAAACCGGAAACAGAGCUGUUUCCAAAUUUUGGAAUUCUUCAGAUUUAAAAUAUUUGCAAAGACUACCAGUUGAGCAUUCCUAAUCCAAAAAUCCAAAAUCUGAAAUGCUCCAAAAUGAGAAAUUCAGACUUGAAGCAGGUCAGAUGUUCAAUUAUUAUUUGGGAGGGUGGGGCCACAUGGAUGCCUGGCAUGUGUGUGGAUGUCAGGGGACAACUUUCAGGAGUUGGUUCUCUCUCCCCACCCUUAUGUGAAUCUCAGGGGUCAAAGUCAGGUCUCUAGGCCUGCACAGCACACACCUUUACCCACUGAGCCAUCCUGCCAGCCCCAUUUUAGAUUUUAAUUCCAGAGUAAGGGCACCACCUGGAAACCGCCAUCACUCACUUUAGAUGAGCAUCAUUCAAAUCACCCUGCAAAAUUUACUGUCGUAGUAUUAUUUUUCUAUUGUU